AAGCAAUUUCCCAGUGGAUUGCUCUGCAGUAGUACACUUGUUCCCUGCUACAAGCAAAUAAGGUUGUUAAAACUGGGUGGUACUCCGGCUCUGCUAGUGUGGAAAGUACUUAAUUUUGUCUUGAGCUGGAAAAUCAUCCAUGCCUGCUGCCAUUGUGCGUAUGGCAGUACGUGUUUUCCCAUAGCUGUGUCAGAGUCCAGCUCUUCGGGGUAUUACCACAGUGACAAACUGCUUCAGUCUGAUUUUUCAUUUCUAGGCAUCUGUAGUCCAUCUUCACUGACAAAAGCACCAGAUUCUGCCCCGUCAAACGAUUCAAGGUCCUUCCUUAACUUUGGCUUUGCAAAUCGAUUUUCAAAACCUAAAGGACCAAGAAAUCCGCCACCAGCAUGGGAUAUUUAGAAGGAUGGAUUUGAGCUUUCUGAAACAGCAGUGGAAACUGGUGAUAGGAUCUAGUGAAGACUACCGAAUGGUAUGGAAGGCCAACAGAGUGGACCAAAGCGGAAUGAGACUCCGGAUCGUGUAGCCACAGCAUCUGUGUGACUUCACUCACCUGUGUAGGUUUGCCAUAAUCAAAGACACUUACAGAGUCAAAUUCCUUAAAUGUUUACAUCACUUGGACUGAAAAAGAUGAGCAUCUCAGAUUUCAGAAAUAAUUUUUAAGUUUUUUUUCAUUUGAGUGAAUCAGUUUAUCUAGAUUUUUGGUCACUAAGACCAAGAUGCCGAUUGAUCAUACAGAAACUAAGCCAGUCUACCAGGCUGCAGAAUUCCCUGAUCAAACUGCCCUUGCUGUCUGAAAAAAAAAACCCCAAACCCAAAACACCACCACAGCAAGCAAAAUAUUGUGGUUUUAAAGCAAUGCAGUUUUUAAGGAUUUGUGACUGUAGCACAAAAUUUCAGAUGGUUAUCUCAGAUGACAAGAUUUCUAGACAAAUUCCACUGCUACUUAUAUCCUCAGUGGGGAGGGAUAAAGAUGUUGAAAAUGACUUUGUAUGAUUAUUUUUCUGUAGAAAGAGGAAAACAAAGUAGGUUUGAUUUUUUUUAAAAAAGGUUUCCUUUUUUUGUUUUUUCCCUUUUAUUUAAAAAAAAAAUAAAUAUCUACCUG
rnacentral:lncRNA from 1 species